GAGAUUCUACAAGCGGGGUUCGUCGUAGUUGCUAGAUUAGAAUCUGAGCAAUGCCUGGGCGUGUCGCCGUCGUCGCAAGAGACAUCCGGAAUUCGUGAGGGAGCUUCUGUGUGCACGUGUGGUCGUGGCUUAAGGAUAGUGGCUGGAGCUUCCGAAUUGAUAGCUGAGAGGCUUGCAUAUUUUUAUAUAAGAAAAAAACGGCUUCAGGGUUUGGCUUCUUAUUUAACGAUAGCAUUAUUCUCUUACUUAUUAUCCUUGUAUAUAUUAUAUAGUGCGUGCACUAUACUUUUCUUACUUAUACUUUCGUCCUUGUGGUUUUUCCCUGGGUGAAAAGUAUAUACAUGGAAAUGUGAAGGCCUGACGCUACACGGAGACUUCCAAAGCUGCAGCCAACGACUGGACAAUAAUUAUCACGUAAAAGUGAUGGUUUAAGGUGACGUCGAAGUGUCUUGUGCAAUAUUAGAAAUUAGCAGCGCAAGAAAUUAGCUUUACGAGCUAAGGAUUUUACGAUCUGUGUCUUAUAAGACUUGGGGAUUUAAGCGCGCGCCAAUAGUGAGCGAUGGACCGAAGAUUGACGGAAACUACCGAUCGGUAGCCACGAUCGUUAUUGCUGGGGGUACCGAUAUCCAAAUCUUGCCAUCAGUAUUGUGGAUCUUCUCAGCUUUAAACAUGACUAGGACAGAAAAAGGCAAGAGGACAUUUAACAAACCCGGAUGACCGGUCUAUGAAAGAGGAUUUGAUCCAACCAGUGGCUGGCUUUACUACCGGUUUGUUGCGAUAGAUAAAAUAUUUAGCGUUUUCAUACCCGCGAAAUUGACUUAGCUACUUUGAUCGUCGAUUCUAAUCACUGGAGAGUAUAAAGCCAAAAAUGCAUUACCACGGUGUACCGCUUUAACCAUGCAAUUAUAAGUUUAAGAGGGAACUCAAAGAAGCCAUUGGAAAUAAUAAAAUGUAUAGGAUGUCGUACAGCUUCCAAGAGGCACUUGUCAAAUCGACAGAGCAAACUGGAACAUCAAAGUCUCUCACUCUCAGCGCCGAAUGGAAUCUAAUUAAACACCACGUGCUCCAUGUCAUUAAGUCAACCGGCAUCGUGUAUCACGUACAAUUAAACGGCAAUCAAACCGUUGACAAACCAACCGUCGCAAUCGCGUCGGUUCUUUAACAAAACUCAGAAGCACAAAAAAUAGGAACCAUAGAAAUACGAAGAAACCAAUAAACGUCACCAUUACCAAGCAUACACAAAAAAACCAACAACCUAACCUAAAGAAACGUCAAAUUUUCAAAGGCGUGUAGCGGUGAUGAAAAUUCGAGCGGACUAACAGGAGCAAAGUUAUGACAAAGAUAUUCAAAUGAGGGUGAUCCAGUGGCAUGAUUAUUUCUUGGUCACCCUGUAUAGAGAGAGGCACAUACAGCCCCGCGGUAGACGGAGCUUUGGGUCGCCGCUAGCUGCAGGCGUCCGGACUUCACGUCUAUCCGCUCAUUUACCAUUUGGUGUAAGCAGACAUUCGCUUGGAAGCAGGAAACUUUUCGUAAUGAUUAAGUGGCUAGCAGACAUGUGUGGUGCUAAUUGCUUCCCUUCUGGGCUGGCUGUGUGAUUCCAUGAAACGCGCCGCAACCAUCCGCCCCCUAAACUCCACAAACAGCCACAUUAGCCAGCUAAUCUGUCAACAGCGAGAACUUCCAUUGCCCUAUGGAUCCUUUUCGUGCUUGGGUGCUACCCUGAAUAUUAGUCAAUAAGGGUCAGUUAAGGGCUGUUAGCUUACCGUUUUGGCUUUAGUACAAAUACACUUGAGGAUAGAGAGUUAGUAUCCUAAAUUGAGGAUGACAGUGGAAAUUGCUGCAUACCAAAUUAUCAAUAAUUACUUGACUCUUGAUUAAUCCUUGAGUUUUGCAUUUAAUAUAAUAUUUUUCAAUAUUUAAUUUUAUUUAAUAUUUAUCGUAACAAUGAUUUGUUUCUUAAAGAUAGAGAAAAAUUUACGGGUUUAUUGUGCGUUGUUACUAUUAACGUAGUACGACUCGCCGCUGUAUCAGAUAGUAACAAAAAUUUUCGAUUAAUUUUGAAAAUUUUUACGAGCAUUCACGGAAUUUCACGACUGUCCCGCACGAACGAACGUCGCUACGGAAUUAGUCGGCUAAUCUGUCAAAAACGCAUUUCCGAGGAGAGACGCGCAUCCCCAGAAAAAAGUCAUUCGAGUGUUACAUGCGUGAGGACGAUGGGUGCUGGGGCGUGUGUCUCCAUAUAGAUACAUAUGUGAUGUACUAACCCAUAUGUGUGUAUAUAUAUAUAUAUCGGGUGGGCAAUGGUCCGUAAAAGUUGGCUGGCUGGCUGGCAGGGAGCAGGCUGGUUUGCCGGUCCAAGAACGGGGAUGCAGCCUCGCCAGUUAUGUUAAUUAAACGCAUUUCUAGCCCCUGCAUAGGAAAUCAAAAAAGAAAGGGAAGAAACUGAACGAGGAACAUCAUGAAACACAGUGAGUCGACGUGAGGGGUGCUAGCUAAUAACACGUCCCAAAUCGUGCGCCACACGUCCGACACGGUCUCAACUUUUUCCACUGCGAGAAUCAGAAGUUGCGUUUUCAUGGUGGUAGACUAUCAGGAUAAUUUUUACGGAACACUAUUUGUAAUGUGUAUUUAGAAAAAAAAAUGUAAUAGUCGCUUCUUUAAGUACCGACAAGUCUAAGGGAAAAUAAUUUUUCACGCCAGUUCUUCAGUUUUGUACAAUUUUUUGCCACCGCUGCUGGUUAACUAAAUGUUGUCGAAUAUUAUUCUUAUUUUUAUAUCAAUUUCAAUGACCGUUUAUCUUACCGCUCAAUGGCUACCAAUGAAGACCCACGAGAUAACUACCUAAAAAUUGCAGGUAAUCUUCGAUUAUCCAGCGGUUUCUACCUGCGGCGUUUGCAUAGGGGAAACAUGCUGUUUACACCGUGAGAACAUUGGGUCGACUAAUAGCCAAUACCUUAAGCCGCUCUUUCUGCUAGUAUGAAAAAUGCUUCUAAAAUCAGUAUUUUCUACGGAUAUAGUAUUGUGCCCUACGAGAGAACAUGUGCUUCAAUCAUAUUAAUGUUACUUUUACGUAGCUUUCAUAUAAUAGUAUAAGAUUCAUGUAUAUUCAGUCCAUGAGUCGAGUGUCAGGCCUAGGGGUCGUCGCUUUUGCAUUUAAUGCCAAGAGAUGGCACUUUUAAAACAUAUUUUACCUGUGAAUGAACCAUAGCUGAGAUGUAAUUAUUACCAAAUUUGUUUCUUGACAAUAUCCUUUGGACUUCCGUGAGUUUCAUCAUUUACAUUUACCUUAACUAGGUAAGCUGCUUGCAAAAUAUAGAUUUAGCACUUAAAAACGUGUCACUUUACAGCAAUUUAUAAGAAAAUUGACACAUAUUUCUCACACUGUAUUUCCUUUGUCAAACUUUGCACAGGAACAUGAGAUCAAUGGUUUAUUCUAGUAAAGAUAACCAAAAGCCAUGAUUUUGUUGUGUAAAAGAAAAAUACUUGUGCCGGAAGUGUGUCAAUUUAUACCGUGAAAGAAAAACAGCCAUUAUAUAUCGUAAUAUGAAAUUCUAGCGAAAGUGAUUAAGCAAAACUAAAUAUUCCUAGUUCAUAAAAUGUAAUGAACGGUAGUAUCGUAAAUGCAGUAAUAUAAAUUAAUGUUUCAACGGUUGUGGGAAAUUGUUUUUAUCAAAUAACGAUCUUGUUUCUUUUGGGCACAAAUCAGCACAUUUCAAAAUACUUCCGGCACAAAUUCUCCUUCAUUAAACUUCGAUUGCAUAUCCAACACAAGAUUAUUGACCAAUUCUACUAAAACGGAGCAACAGCCAUGAUUUUGUUGUGUAAAAGAAAAUAUAGUUUUACCGGAAUUAUGCCGAAGUUUGUCGAUUUGUGUUAUAAAAGAAAAAUACCCAAACGUAGAGGGAUCUGAAGAACAAACGUUGGCAAACCCAGUAGGUUGACACGUAUUUGUGAAGCGAACGACGUUUAACGUGGCGCCAUCUUUACGCCGACCGACGUACUAAGGAGUUUAACUCAGAAAAAUUCUAAUGUACCUCUCAUUAUCUUCAGAGUCAUUCCAAUGUUAUCCUAUAUACUAUGUAAUGUGCAUAAGACCGUUUUUUUAUUUAAGUGAAAUAUUUUCUCAUAUUCUCAAGUGCUCGUAGGUGGAAUGCACCUUCUAAUAUAGCGAUCGGUUAAUCGACUCUUUGUAUAAAAGGAAUAAAGAGAAAAAGAAAACAUUAUAAACGUGCCGCGAACCACGUAUUACACAGCGAGAAUCUUUUACAGCGCGAAAUAAGCUUCUAAUGGAGCGGCUAAUAUCUAAUAUGCCGAUGCUGAUAUUACAUACGCCCAGAGUUUCGCGGAACUUCUCAAGAACAAGAAAAAAUGUGUAUUAUCCAGCAUCAAUAUAACGUUACGGCCAUGCAUACGUGGUCGGUUU